GACGAACGCUGGCGGCGUGCUUAACACAUGCAAGUCGAACGGAAAGGCCCUGCUUUUGUGGGGUGCUCGAGUGGCGAACGGGUGAGUAACACGUGAGUAACCUGCCCUUGACUUUGGGAUAACUUCAGGAAACUGGGGCUAAUACCGGAUAGGAGCUCCUGCUGCAUGGUGGGGGUUGGAAAGUUUCGGCGGUUGGGGAUGGACUCGCGGCUUAUCAGCUUGUUGGUGGGGUAGUGGCUUACCAAGGCUUUGACGGGUAGCCGGCCUGAGAGGGUGACCGGCCACAUUGGGACUGAGAUAAGGCCCAGACUCCUACGGGAGGCAGCAGUGGGGAAUAUUGCACAAUGGGCGGAAGCCUGAUGCAGCAACGCCGCGUGCGGGGUGACGGCCUUCGGGUUGUAAACCGCUUUCGCCUGUGACGAAGCGUGAGUGACGGUAAUGGGUAAAGAAGCACCGGCUAACUACGUG
rnacentral:rRNA from 1 species